GAUGAACGCUGGCGGCGUGCCUAAUACAUGCAAGUCGAGCGAACAGACGAGGAGCUUGCUCCUCUGACGUUAGCGGCGGACGGGUGAGUAACACGUGGAUAACCUACCUAUAAGACUGGGAUAACUUCGGGAAACCGGAGCUAAUACCGGAUAACAUGUUGAACCGCAUGGUUCAACAGUGAAAGACGGUCUUGCUGUCACUUAUAGAUGGAUCCGCGCCGCAUUAGCUAGUUGGUAAGGUAACGGCUUACCAAGGCAACGAUGCGUAGCCGACCUGAGAGGGUGAUCGGCCACACUGGAACUGAGACACGGUCCAGACUCCUACGGGAGGCAGCAGUAGGGAAUCUUCCGCAAUGGGCGAAAGCCUGACGGAGCAACGCCGCGUGAGUGAAGAAGUUCUUCGGAUCGUAAAACUCUGUUAUUAGGGAAGAACAAAUGUGUAAGUAACUAUGCACGUCUUGACGGUACCUAAUCAGAAAGCCACGGCUAACUACGUG
rnacentral:rRNA from 1 species